ensembl:lncRNA
UCCCUCUCCCGUUGUGUGAGCGGAGGCUAGCCCAGCAUCACCGCCUUCUUCUUUCUAUCCUUUCUGAAUGUGUUAUUCCUGUCUUGUUUUUUGUUGUUGCUUGUUUGUUUAGUUCUUUUUCCAGCUCAUCACAAACUCCGCAGACGAGGCACCCUCUCUCUGUUUUUAACAGUAAUUUUCUUCGAACACAAAGCGUUUGGCUAGACGCUUAAAGCUGUCGCGUUGCUUCAGCAGGGAGAGAAAAACAUCCAUCCCCGACGUCUCGAGGAGGCAGGGUGCGAACACAGCAACGCCCAUUUUGACACAAGCGGUAUCGCUGCUGUCUUCACGAAGGCCGUGUUUCUAUUUUUUCCCCUCUUUUUCGGUAUCUACCUUUGAUAUCUGAGACUACCUUCCUUACUUGCAAUCUUCACCCUGGUCAUUCUGCCCUGCCUUUUCCCAUCGCAUCUGUAGCAUCUUCGAGUAGUGGCAACAGGGUCCGGGGCUGCCGAAGAGCUCCAUGCCCCUUUGCAUGCAGCGCACCGAGACUGCAUUUUGCAGACUGCAUCUGUGGCCUUAACCUUGUAGAUUCCUCCUCUGGUUGUCCUUGACGCCUCCGGCAUUCCCCCCUUCUCUCCCUCUGAGCAGUCUGCUCCCUCAUUCUCCUCUCGGUUUCCCGCCAUCGCGUCCAGCUGUGGCCCUCACAGGGCACGCUCGCUGGCUCUCACCUGACAGGUCCCUGGCCUCAGGACGGCAGCCAGCAACAACACGUUCCCUACAUGAGGGACAAAGCGACGCAGGUGAGUAUAGUGUCUCUUUGUGUAGUAAUAAUUGUGAGAUACACAAAGUUUGCAUUUUGUUUAUAUGCGCAAGCCAUAAAGUAUUAUUACUGUUACUGGAAGAGGAAAGAACCCAAAGUGCUGACUGACAUAAAGAAGAAAACAGUCUUAAAAUUAAAUUGUAGGAAUUUUAUGUUGCCCUUUUUCAGGCUUAUUGGGCAACAGCUUAAGAUGCAUUUCAGUCAUCCUCUUCCCUGGCACAGCAGGCAUGUGGGUGGUUUCUGCAAGACUGCAGGAGGAGAGGUUGGUUAGGUUUGGGAGGACAUUAUAGAGUGACUGGAUAAACUUGAUCUAGGGUGGCUCAGCCUUCCAUAGUUUUAACCACAAGAUAUUCCAGUUCAUUACCUGCUCCCAUUAAUUCCACAACCCUUGCUGCCGCGUCCCAACCAUCCUACUGUAUUGGGUUUCCUCUACCCCUGCUUGGGUCAGUUCCUGGACCAACUGGCUUCUUUCCCUUGCCCUAUUGAGAUUCCUGAGCUCUCCACUUCCUGCCUGUCCUCACCUCUUAUGCCAACCAAGGAGCCUCUGGUGUUACUGGAGUCUCCAAUCCCAGUCCACAAGGGCCGGUGUCCCUGCAGGUUUUAGAUGUGUCCUUGAUCCAUCAUAGCUGAUUUAAAUGGAUAAAUUACCUUCACAACAUGUCUUGAAGUUCUCCAGAGGCCUGGUAAUGAACUAAUCAUGUGAUUCAGGUGUGUUGACCCAGGGUGAGAUCUAAAAC